AGCGGUAUCCAGCCGAUGUUUUCAAUACUGCAUUUGAAUACACGUGCACGGAUAACGCUCA
rnacentral:pre_miRNA from 1 species